GAAAUGCGAUAAGUAAUGUGAAUUGCAGAAUUCAGUGAAUCAUCGAAUCUUUGAACGCACAUUGCGCCCGCCAGUAUUCUGGCGGGCAUGCCUGUCCGAGCGUCAUUUCAACCAUCAAGCCCCCGGCUUGUGUUGGGGACCUGCGGCUGCCCGCAGGCCCUGAAAAACAGUGGCGGGCUCGCUGUCACACCGAGCGUAGUAGCAUACAUUCUCGCUCAGGGCGUGCUGCGGGUUCCGGCCGUUAAACGACCUUCAUAACCCAAGGUUGACCUCGGAUCAGGUAGGAAGACCCGCUGAACUUAAGC
rnacentral:misc_RNA from 1 species